CUUGCUCUUCUUGGAUGAGUUGCGAACGGGUGAGUAACGCGUAGGUAACCUGCCUUGUAGCGGGGGAUAACUAUUGGAAACGAUAGCUAAUACCGCAUAACAAUGGAUGACACAUGUCAUUUAUUUGAAAGGGGCAAUUGCUCCACUACAAGAUGGACCUGCGUUGUAUUAGCUAGUAGGUGAGGUAAUGGCUCACCUAGGCGACGAUACAUAGCCGACCUGAGAGGGUGAUCGGCCACACUGGGACUGAGACACGGCCCAGACUCCUACGGGAGGCAGCAGUAGGGAAUCUUCGGCAAUGGGGGCAACCCUGACCGAGCAACGCCGCGUGAGUGAAGAAGGUUUUCGGAUCGUAAAGCUCUGUUGUAAGUCAAGAACGGGUGUGAGAGUGGAAAGUUCACACUGUGACGGUAGCUUACCAGAAAGGGACGGCUAACUACGUGCCAGCAGCCGCGGUAAUACGUAGGUCCCGAGCGUUGUCCGGAUUUAUUGGGCGUAAAGCGAGCGCAGGCGGUUUGAUAAGUCUGAAGUUAAAGGCUGUGGCUCAACCAUAGUUCGCUUUGGAAACUGUCAAACUUGAGUGCAGAAGGGGAGAGUGGAAUUCCAUGUGUAGCGGUGAAAUGCGUAGAUAUAUGGAGGAACACCGGUGGCGAAAGCGGCUCUCUGGUCUGUAACUGACGCUGAGGCUCGAAAGCGUGGGGAGCGAACAGGAUUAGAUACCCUGGUAGUCCACGCCGUAAACGAUGAGUGCUAGGUGUUGGAUCCUUUCCGGGAUUCAGUGCCGCAGCUAACGCAUUAAGCACUCCGCCUGGGGAGUACGACCGCAAGGUUGAAACUCAAAGGAAUUGACGGGGGCCCGCACAAGCGGUGGAGCAUGUGGUUUAAUUCGAAGCAACGCGAAGAACCUUACCAGGUCUUGACAUCCCGAUGCUAUUUCUAGAGAUAGAAAGUUACUUCGGUACAUCGGUGACAGGUGGUGCAUGGUUGUCGUCAGCUCGUGUCGUGAGAUGUUGGGUUAAGUCCCGCAACGAGCGCAACCCCUAUUGUUAGUUGCCAUCAUUCAGUUGGGCACUCUAGCGAGACUGCCGGUAAUAAACCGGAGGAAGGUGGGGAUGACGUCAAAUCAUCAUGCCCCUUAUGACCUGGGCUACACACGUGCUACAAUGGUUGGUACAACGAGUUGCGAGUCGGUGACGGCGAGCUAAUCUCUUAAAGCCAAUCUCAGUUCGGAUUGUAGGCUGCAACUCGCCUACAUGAAGUCGGAAUCGCUAGUAAUCGCGGAUCAGCACGCCGCGGUGAAUACGUUCCCGGGCCUUGUACACACCGCCCGUCACACCACGAGAGUUUGUAACACCCGAAGUCGGUGAGGUAA
rnacentral:rRNA from 1 species